AUGAUUUUGUUCAGGGAAUAUGUAUAUAUCUAGAUGCUUGACUCACUAACAGUGAUAACCGUGGCAUCAUCUGGAAUGGAUUUGAGUGAGAAGCUUAUUUAUUGUAGUUUCCUUCGUUGAAUUCCUGAAUUAUUCCCUCGACGAACAUUACGACAUGAAUAGUCCAUACUGUCAUGAUCGUUUGCCUAAAUAAUCUUGUGUCACUGCAAUUGAGAUGUCCACAAUUAUCAGCUUUGCAUCAAUCAAUAAAAGGAAUAGUUUGGGUCAGAUUUAUAAGGAUUUCUACAUCAGUUUUGCACACAGAUGUACUAUCUCAGAAUAAAUUUAAUGUGUCAGUCUAAAAUUUCUUAUGUUAGUGUUGCUGAGUUAGAAGAACUAGGACUGGUACCACAUGUCAUCACACUCAGAUCGAGGGUUUCAGGUAUUGUUGGUGAUGACACAAGUAGUGCCAUCCAUCAUGCUUUUUGCAAGACUUCAAUUCAGGCUAAUGUGCUUGGCAAGCAUAUAUAUUGAUUGAAUAAAAUGGAUGUGCCUAGCUUGUAGAUCUAUAUAUCUCGAUUUAGCGUUGCAUUAAGUAUCUAACCUUUUCGUCAUGUCUUUAAUGCUUUUCUGAUGCAAGCAAUCUUUUGCUAGUGCGUGUGUACUCUCUCGGUUGUGGCGCAUGAGUGGUUCCUAGUUCUGUAGUUCCCAGAAAAUGAAAUCAAAUUGUAUGCAAACUUUAAUGGCUUCAAGGGCUUCUAGAUUAGUUGUUUGCAUGAUUUUGUAUUUGGUUCAGUGUGUGUGGCUGUUGGGCUAUGAAGGUACAAGGUACAAACUAAUGAUUUCAUGUUACCUUCUUGUGGUUGUUUUGUAGUGGCUCAAGUUCUGUUCUGUAGCUUUUUCUUAUGUAGGACAAACAGUUUUGAACAACUUAGAUUCUCUCUGUUGGUGCUUUAAAUUUUAUCUAUAAAGCAUAUGAUACACUUACCUUUUCUAAAGCUGUGGAAGUUAACCCGGUGAUAUGGUUGCAUCAUAGAUUCUUAUUGAUUUAUGCAUAUUUAAUCAUUGUUUAUGCUGCUUAGCUUCUUUUACCUAAUCCUUUCAUCUUUUUGGAGGAGUGGAUGGUCCAACAGACUAUUAUGCUUGCAAAGCGGCCACACAUUAUUGUAAGUUUUUAUUUUUCUAGUAUGGGAGGCUUGAUUUCCGUAACAUCUGUACUAUAGUUUACUUGCAUUUCUAGGCUUUUUAGAAUCUUGGCUUGACAUUGCUCAUAAUGAAGGUAUAGUUUAAUAAGGUCUGUAUUCAUGUUAUUCUAUCUGAUAUUAUCCUAUGAAGAGUUUUUAAUAAAUUUUCAAAUAUGAUACUAUUUCUUGAUAGAAAACAGAAAUUUAGUUUGUUAUAGAUGUGUAGGUGUUUCUGUGCCAACAAUAAGAAUAUCCGUAAAGGAUAUAGAAAUUUCGGUAAGUUGACAAUUGUAUAUAACUUUGUCAGGUACUUAUUGUUGUUUUUACUGUUAUAUUCCCUUGAAGGUUGCUACACGUGGACGUCUCAUGAUCAUGUAUCCAACAGCAAAGGAUUUUCUCUUCGCACAUUGAAUGAUUUUGUAGGAUCUCAUUGCCCUGAUGACUUUCACUAUUCUGUUGUAGAUGCAAUUUCAACUUGGAUGGAAUAGGUUUUAGAUGAGGCAGACAGACUGCUUGAUGAGGACUUUGAAAUGACACUUGAUGACAUUCUGAAAGUCAUCCCUCGUUAACGGAGAACAUAUUUGCUUUCUGCUACCAUGACUAAAAGGGUAUGGUUCAAUGAUUUCACUGCAACUACAGUUCUGGUUGUAUUACUGAUAUUAUUUUCCUUUUAUACCAUGGAAUGCUGGACAAUAAGUACCGUCAAGAAGCUGCAAGGGCUUGUCUAAGGAACCCUCUGAAGAUUUAAGUAGCAUCUAAAUAUUCUACCGUUGAAACACUAAAGCUGCAGUAUCAUUUUCUGCCGGCCCAGCACAAGGUUUCUUUCCCUUUUGUUAUUCUUCUAGUUUUAGUAUUUUUAAUCCUUUAUAUAAUGCCUGUACUCAUUUAGAUGUCAAGGGCUUGUGAAUCCUCUGGGAAUUAUAGAUACUGAAGUGGACCGGUUUAACAUCUGAAAUGUGUGUGCUUAGGGAGUGGAAAGGCAUGAGUGACUAUUAUAAUCAGACAUGAAUGGUGGUUGUAGGGUAGAAAUUUAUGGGCCACAAAGACAGACAAAUAUCAAGCAUUUAUCGAGCAUAUGAAAUAUAUUGUGCACUGUAAAUCCGACGUGUCAAUAGUUGAUCUGACGUGCAUUCUGAAGAUGUAAUUAUAACUGUGGCUUGCAGUUUUACUUUG